CCUACGGGUGGCAGCAGUGGGGAAUAUUGGACAAUGGGCGAAAGCCUGAUCCAGCCAUGCCGCGUGUGUGAAGAAGGCCUUCGGGUUGUAAAGCACUUUCAGUGGGGAAGAAAGCCUUGGGGCUAAUACCCUCGAGGAAGGACAUCACCCACAGAAGAAGCACCGGCUAACUCCGUGCCAGCAGCCGCGGUAAUACGGAGGGUGCGAGCGUUAAUCGGAAUUACUGGGCGUAAAGCGCGCGUAGGCGGUCUGAUAAGCCGGUUGUGAAAGCCCCGGGCUCAACCUGGGAACGGCAUCCGGAACUGGCAGGCUAGAGUGCAGGAGAGGAAGGUAGAAUUCCCGGUGUAGCAGUGAAAUGCGUAGAGAUCGGGAGGAAUACCAGUGGCGAAGGCGGCCUUCUGGACUGACACUGACGCUGAGGUGCGAAAGCGUGGGUAGCAAACAGGAUUAGAUACCCGAGUAGUC
rnacentral:rRNA from 1 species